rnacentral:rRNA from 1 species
CCUACGGGGUGCAGCAGUGGGGAAUAUUGCACAAUGGGGGAAACCCUGAUGCAGCGACGCCGCGUGAGUGAAGAAGUAAUUCGUUACGUAAAGCUCUAUCAGCAGGGAAGAAAAUGACGGUACCUGAGUAAGAAGCCACGGCUAACUACGUGCCAGCAGCCGCGGUAAUACGUAGGGGGCAAGCGUGAUCCGGAUUUACUGGGCGGAAAGGGAGCGGAGACGGUGCGCCAAGUCUGGAGUGAAAUGCCGCAGCUUAACUGCGGAACUGCUUUGGAAACGGGCGAACUAGAGUGCGGGAGGGGUAAGCGGAAUGCCUAGUGUAGCGGUGAAAUGCGUAGAUAUUAGGAGGAACACCGGUGGCGAAGGCGGCUUCCUGGACCGUAACUGACGUUGAGGCUCGAAAGCGUGGGGAGCAAACAGGAUUAGAUACCCGAGUAGUC